UCUAUAAUCUAUUUUGCAGGUCCUUCUUCUGUUGGGUUAUUUAUUUAUUAAAUCGUCUGCUUACUGGAUAAAUUGCAGUAGGUCAAGAGGGACAGUUUUCAGAUUAGAGUUGGAUGAAAUAAAUAAGGAAGGACUAUGUUUAAAGCCUAUGCAGAGAUUAGGAUGACAUCUUCCUUACCCAACUUCAAACAACAAGGAAAGACAUCUCAGCACAAGUCUCAUGCUAUCGUUAAACUAAAGAAGAACAAAUAUUGACUGAUGGCGGGAUUAAAGGUCCCAAAAGCCCAGACUUGUAAGGAAUGAAUUGUUGUAAUCGUUUACUAUUUCAAACAGUAUUUUGGAAUGCUAUUGAUCCAGAGAAACCCUCUUCUAGAAAAGUAAUUCCAUAGCCAAGAGAAGAAAGCAAAAAUAUAUUUAGGAAAAGAAACUUUGAUGACUGUCUCCAAACAGUACAGAAGCUAGAAGUCCAGCAAAAACUACUGACAGGCUGUAAAUACUGAAGAAAAUCAAAGGAAAACAACAAAACCAAUCAGCAAUCAACUCCAGAAGUGCUCAGACAAUGGCAGUAAUUAACUUUCUUUCAUGCAGAUAACUAUAAGUCCCAAGAUGGCCCCACAUCCAGGUAAAAAAGAAAAUCUGUAAAGUUUACAUGCAUCCAAAACAAUUUCAGCGAUGGUAAAGCGUA